rnacentral:rRNA from 1 species
AAGUCGAACGGAGACAAAACCUUCGGGUUUGUUUUAGUGGCGGACGGGUGAGUAACGCGUGAGCAAUCUGCCCUUUACUGCGGAAUAACAGAGAGAAAUUUCUGCUAAUACGGCAUGCACCGUAAAGGCCGCAUGGUCAUAUACGGGAAAGAUUUAUCGGUAGAGGAUGAGCUCGCGUCCCAUUAGCUAGUUGGUAGGGUAAAGGCCUACCAAGGCGACGAUGGGUAGCCGACCUGAGAGGGUGAUCGGCCACACUGGGACUGAGACACGGCCCAGACUCC